rnacentral:rRNA from 1 species
UACGUAGGGGGCAAGCGUUGUCCGGAUUUAUUGGGCGUAAAGAGCGUGUAGGCGGCCAGGUAGGUCUGCUGUGAAAACUCGAGGCUUAACCUCGAGAUGUCGGCGGAAACCAUCUGGCUAGAGUCCGGAAGAGGAGAAUGGAAUUCCCGGUGUAGCGGUGAAAUGCGCAGAUAUCGGGAAGAACACCCGUGGCGAAGGCGGCUCUCUGGGACGGUACUGACGCUGAGACGCGAAAGCGUGGGGAGCGAACAGG